rnacentral:rRNA from 1 species
UACGUAGGGGGCAAGCGUUGUCCGGAAUCAUUGGGCGUAAAGAGCGUGUAGGCGGCUUGGUAAGUCCGCUGUGAAAGUCCAGGGCUCAACCCUGGAAUGCCGGUGGAAACUGUCAAGCUUGAGUCCGGAAGAGGCGAGUGGAAUUCCUGGUGUAGCGGUGAAAUGCGCAGAUAUCAGGAGGAACACCAAUGGCGAAGGCAGCUCGCUGGGACGGUACUGACGCUGGAGACGCGAAAGCGUGGGGAGCGAACAGG